CCUGAGAUGAGGAAGACCUGAGCUGAGAUCAACAGUCAGAUGCUUAACCAACUCAGCCACCCAGGCGCCCCUGCAGUCAUUUUAUUGUACAGACAGCAUUGCAUUGAAUCACCUUAUUCAUAUGUCCUGCUUGUGUAGGUAAAACUGGAGGCACUUGCAACAUUUAAUUAAAAGAUACUGUUCUGCCUUGGUGAGCUCCUAAUCCAGCAAUGGAGAAAUGAUAUUGAUAAUGUGCAAGAAAGGCACUCAGAUUCCCAUUUUUUCAUCCUGAAAGCAGAAGAUGAAACUCUUAGGUGAGAACUGCGCUUCCAGUGCCGAGAGGAAAGAAACAGCACCAGAGAAGCACUUGAGUCUGGAAGAAUUUGCACAUGGAGACCUUGUUAAAGCCCUGCCCACCAGAGACCCUAAGGAGGUAGAGGUGAAAUUUUUGCCUGCCCUACGUUAACAACAGCCACCAGUGGCCAUUCUGAUCCUGGUUCCAAAAAACAACCCUCCCCCAAAGUAGACU